rnacentral:rRNA from 1 species
AUUGAACGCUGGCGGCAGGCCUAACACAUGCAAGUCGAGCGGAUGACGGGAGCUUGCUCCUUGAUUCAGCGGCGGACGGGUGAGUAAUGCCUAGGAAUCUGCCUGGUAGUGGGGGACAACGUUCCGAAAGGAGCGCUAAUACCGCAUACGUCCUACGGGAGAAAGUGGGGGAUCUUCGGACCUCACGCUAUCAGAUGAGCCUAGGUCGGAUUAACUAGUUGGUGAGGUAAAGGCUCACCAAGGCGACGAUCCGUAACUGGUCUGAGAGGAUGAUCAGUCACACUGGAACUGAGACACGGUCCAGACUCCUACGGGAGGCAGCAGUGGGGAAUAUUGGACAAUGGGCGAAAGCCUGAUCCAGCCAUGCCGCGUGUGUGAAGAAGGUCUUCGGAUUGUAAAGCACUUUAAGUUGGGAGGAAGGGCAGUAAGUUAAUACCUUGCUGUUUUGACGUUACCGACAGAAUAAGCACCGGCUAACUCUGUG